rnacentral:tRNA from 1 species
GUGAAGUGCUUGUAAGCUGUUGAUUUGUAUGGAUUCUAUCAGCAUCAAUCAACACUAUGAAAUAGUAUAAAGUCAGGAUUGUGAUUCCUGUUGUCGUGGGUUCGAGCCCCAUCAGCCACCCCA